GAUGAACGCUAGCGGCAGGCCUAACACAUGCAAGUCGAGGGGCAGCAUAAAACAAGCUUGCUUGUUUGGUGGCGACCGGCGCACGGGUGCGUAACGCGUAUGCAACCUACCCUGUACUGGGGGAUAGCCCGGAGAAAUCUGGAUUAAUACCCCAUGGUAUCUACGAAUCGAUUGGUUUGUAGCUUAAAGAUUUAUCGGUAAAAGAUGGGCAUGCGUCUGAUUAGCUAGUUGGCGGGGUAACGGCCCACCAAGGCGACGAUCAGUAGGGGUUCUGAGAGGACGAUCAGCCACACUGGGACUGAGACACGGCCCAGACUCCUACGGGAGGCAGCAGUGGGGAAUUUUGGACAAUGGGGGCAACCCUGAUCCAGCAAUGCCGCGUGAGUGAAGAAGGCCUUCGG
rnacentral:rRNA from 1 species